AGAGGCCGCCGGGAGCUGCAGUGCGCGCGGCAUGGCUUGUGGUGGAACGGGCGGCUCCCCUGUCGUG
rnacentral:miRNA from 7 species